CUGUCGUCCUUGAGUAAUCCUAAUUACAUACUACUCUUUCAAUCUUCACCAAAAAAGAAUGGCGAUUGUAAUGCCUUCCAUGUUUUUCUUUGUGCUUAUGGUGGUGCUGGUCGGAGAUGCGGCCACUGCCCGGAACGGCUAGAUCUUUGGCCUUACCAGGAUUAACAAAGAUAAACAAGAACAGUUCGAUGUGCCCUCACCAAGUUAUUCCCUAAAAGCUAUGGCUCCGCUGGAUUCAGGUACUGCAUCAGAGUUUGCUCAAGGAUUUAAGGACUAAAACCAUAGAGGCAGAAGGGCUAUUGAAACUAUGCCAAAUCCUUCCCCAAGAGCUGGUGUUAACAAAGAGAUACAAGAACAAUCUGAUGCGUCCCCAUCAAAUGCCUUGCCAAAGGCCAUGGGUCCAGUAGCGGUUGCUCCGAUCGGUGAAGGUACUGCAUCAGAGUUUGCUCAAGGAUUUAAGGACCAAAACCAUAGAGGCAGAAGGGCUAUUGAAACUAAAACAAAUCGUUCCCCAAGAGCUGGUAUUAACAAAGAGAUACAAGAACAAUCUGAUGCGUACCCAUCAAAUGCCUUGCCAAAGGCUAUGGGUCCAGUAGCGGUUGCUCCGAUCGGGGAAGGUACACAUAUAAUUGAAUAGUCCCAAACUUUUUCUUCCUUGAACAUAUGAUAAUAUUAUGGCUGGAUUAGGUACUGCAUCAGAGUUUGCUCAAGGAUUUAAGGACUAAAACCAUAGAGGCAGAAGGGCUAUUGAAACUAUGCCAAAUCCUUCCCCAAGAGCUGGUAUUAACAAAGAGAUACAAGAACAAUCUGAUGCGUCCCCAUCAAAUGCCUUGCCAAAGGCUAUGG